AACGAACGCUGGCGGCGUGCCUAACACAUGCAAGUCGAACGAAAUCCUUCGGGGUCUGGUGGCGCACGGGUGCGUAACGCGUGGGAAUCUGCCCGUAGAUUCGGAAUAACAGUUAGAAAUAACUGCUAAUACCGGAUGAUAACGUUAAGUACAAAGAUUUAUCGCCUGAGGAUGAGCGCGCGUAGGCUUAGCUAGUUGGUGUGGUAAAGGCUCACCAAGGCGACGAUCCUUAGCUGGGCUGAGAGGAUGAUCAGGCACACUGGGACUGAGACACAGCCCAGACUCCUACGGGAGGCAGCAGUGGGGAAUAUUGGACAAUGGGCGCAAGCGUGAUCCAGCAAUGCCGGGUGAGUGAUGAAGGCCUUAGGGUUGUAAAGCUCUUUUACCCGGGAUGAUAAUGACAGUACCGGGAGAAUAAGCCCCGGCUAACUCCGUG
rnacentral:rRNA from 1 species